rnacentral:rRNA from 1 species
UACGAAGGGGGCGAGCGUUGUUCGGAUUUACUGGGCGUAAAGGGCGCGCAGGCGGCUAUCCAAGUCAGGCGUGAAAGCCCCGGGCUUAACCUGGGAGGUGCGUCUGGGACUGGGUGGCUAGAGUUCGGGAGAGGAGAGUGGAAUUCCCAGUGUAGAGGUGAAUUCGUAGAUAUUGGGAAGAACACCGGUGGCGAAGGCGGCUCUCUGGACCGAGACUGACGCUGAGGCGCGAAAGCGUGGGGAGCAAACAGG